rnacentral:misc_RNA from 1 species
AGCCCUGGUCAAUGAGAUGGGCCCGCAAACGAAGGGCUUGCGGCGCGACUGGGGCAUGACGUUGACAGAGUUGCUCAACGAGCGAUUUCUGGCGCCGAUGCAGCAGUGGUCGAAACGUAACCGCACGUUGUUUCGCAUUCAGGAUUAUGGUGUCCCCGCGGCGACGAUCUCCAGCAAUGCCUUUGCGGACAUUCCGGAUGGUGAAGGUUCGCAGUGGAAAGUAGUUCGUGCGUCGCGUUGGGCUUCAUCAGCCAGCCAUCUUUACAGCCGGCCGAUAGCGUCUUCGGAAACCUGGACAUGGUUACACUCGCCUUCGUUUCGGGCGACUCCGCUCGACGUCAAGGCUGAGGCCGACCUGCAUUUCCUCCAGGGAAUCAAUCAAUUGAUCGGACAUGGUUGG